rnacentral:lncRNA from 1 species
CGUUGCGUUCUGCAUCCAGUCCUUGCUGCUCCGAGAGGCCCCAGGUGCCUCCGCCACGGCUCCUGUGACGCUGUCACCUGCGCUGUGACCUGCUCCGGAGUCAUAAAGAGGACGCCGGGACACCAAGAAGCAGGGAAAUGGACCCAGUGGCCUUUGAGGAUGUGGCUGUGAACUUCACCCAGGAGGAGUGGGCCUUGUUGAAUCCUUUCCAGAAGAUCUCUACAGAGAUGUGAUGCAGGAAACCUUCACGAACCUCAUCUGUAUAGGGACGUGGUUACAGAAUGCCCUCGUUUUUGUCCUGCUCCAUCAUGGUCACUGAGGAGCACUGCUUCACACUGCAGGUGUCUGACAUGGCUUAAGAUUUGGCCUUGUGGUGAGGGGAGGCAGCUCCCAGACUUGUGGACCUGUUUUUGCUUUACUUAUUCUCCAAAACCUAAGAUAUUUCUUAGAGUGUAUGAACACUGUUCCACAAAAUGCUCCAGUUAAAAAUAUAUAAAAUCACUUACUCCUUA